rnacentral:rRNA from 1 species
GACAGAGGGUGCAAACGUUGUUCGGAAUUACUGGGCGUAAAGCGAGUGUAGGCGGUGUGGUAAGUCGGAUGUGAAAGCCCCGGGCUCAACCCGGGAAGUGCACUCGAUACUGCCACGCUAGAGUAUCGGAGAGGUUGGUGGAAUUCUCGGUGUAGAGGUGAAAUUCGUAGAUAUCAAGAGGAACACCAGUGGCGAAGGCGAGUCCCUGGACAACACCUGACACUGAGGCACGAAAGCUAGGGGAGCAAACAGG